CAUGUGAUGAUACAGCUUUGCUCCCCUCUGGAGGUUGCAGCACCAAAGUACCAUCUUGGAGGCAGAAGAGACUGUUCCCUCCGUCACCAGCCAGUACUUUGAUCUUGGACUUACCAGCCUCCAGAACUGGGAAGAUACAAAGCAAUCCUUAGAACUUCCACUUUAAAACCCAUGAUCUGCUACAGUUUUUUUCCAGAGCUCUGCAUUGAAGGCAUUGAGUAGGAAGGGGCUAUUUACCUGAGAGUUCAGAGUGGGAGGCAUCUGUCAGACCUGGAUUGGAGCAUCCCCUCUGUCUCCCGUCUACUAUGCAUGACUCUGGGCAAGUCGAUGGAAAACUUUUAACAUUGUCUCUGCUGCGAAACUUGAAAAAUCGAGAUUUUCAAACACAGCAUGACAUUUAAUGUAAAAGAAA